rnacentral:rRNA from 1 species
UACGGGGGGGGGCAAGCGUUGUUCGGAAUUACUGGGCGUAAAGGGCUCGUAGGCGGCCAACUAAGUCGGAUGUGAAAUCCCCGGGCUCAACCCGGGAACUGCGUCCGAUACUGACAGGCUUGAAUCCGGGAGAGGGAUGCGGAAUUCCAGGUGUAGCGGUGAAAUGCGUAGAUAUCUGGAGGAACACCGGUGGCGAAGGCGGCAUCCUGGACCGGCAUUGACGCUGAGGCGCGAAAGCUAGGGGAGCAAACGGG